rnacentral:rRNA from 1 species
CCAAAAACUAAACGUACUCAGUUCGGAUUGCAGGCUGCAACCCGCCCUGCAUGAAGCCGGAAUCGCUAGUAAUCGCAGAUCAGAAUGCUGCGGUGAAUACGUUCCCGGGUCUUGUACACACCGCCCGUCACACCAUGGGAGUCGAUAACGCCCGAAGUCAGUGACCCAACCGAGAGGAGGGAGCUGCCGAAGGCGGGAUGGAUAACUGGGGUGAAGUCGUAACAAGGUAGC